rnacentral:rRNA from 1 species
AAGCGUGGGGAGCAAACAGGAUUAGAUACCCUGGUAGUCCACGCCGUAAACGAUGUCGAUUUGGAGGUUGUGCCCUUGAGGCGUGGCUUCCGGAGCUAACGCGUUAAAUCGACCGCCUGGGGAGUACGGCCGCAAGGUUAAAACUCAAAUGAAUUGACGGGGGCCCGCACAAGCGGUGGAGCAUGUGGUUUAAUUCGAUGCAACGCGAAGAACCUUACCUGGUCUUGACAUCCACAGAACUUUCCAGAGAUGGAUUGGUGCCUUCGGGAACUGUGAGACAGGUGCUGCAUGGCUGUCGUCAGCUCGUGUUGUGAAAUGUUGGGUUAAGUCCCGCAACGAGCGCAACCCUUA